rnacentral:piRNA from 2 species
UGGGAUUAUAGGCAUGUGCCACCAUGC